UCUUCCGUAGUAUAGUGGUCAGUAUGCAAGCUUGUCAUUUAAAACAAUUCGCUUGAGACCCGGGUUCAAUUCCCGGCGGGAGAG